GACGAACGCUGGCGGCGUGCCUAAUACAAGCAAGUCGAGCGAAACAGUGGGAGCUUGCUCCCUGAGAUUAGCGGCGGACGGGUGAGUAACACGUGGGUAACCUGCCUGUAAGACUGGAAUAACUUCGGGAAACCGGAGCUAAUACCGGAUACGUUCUUUUCUCGCAUGAGGAGAGAUGGAAAGAUGGUUCUGCUAUCACUUACAGAUGGACCCGCGGCGCAUUAGCUAGUUGGUAAGGUAACGGCUCACCAAGGCGACGACGCGUAGCCGACCUGAGAGGGUGAUCGGCCACACUGGGACUGAGACACGGCCCAGACUCCUACGGGAGGCAGCAGUAGGGAAUCUUCCGCAAUGGACGAAAGUCUGACGGAGCAACGCCGCGUGAGCGAAGAAGGCCUUCGGGUCGUAAAGCUCUGUUGUUAGGGAAGAACAAGUACGAGAGUAACUGCUCGUACCUUGACGGUACCUAACCAGAAAGCCACGGCUAACUACGUGCCAGCCGCCGCCGUAA
rnacentral:rRNA from 1 species